AUCCAUCUGACGAAUCCCAAAUAGAACGAAGUAACGCACGUCCUGGAU
rnacentral:hammerhead_ribozyme from 1 species